GCUCAUAUGGUGUAAUGGUAGCACUAAAGAUUUUGAUUCUUUCAAUUUCAGUUCGAUUCUGAAUAUGAGCU
rnacentral:tRNA from 1 species